AUGUCUUUGUCUUUUCUUAUUAGAGACAAACGCGCCCCCGCCCCCGCCCGCCCCCCUCCCUCCCCUCCGGCGGCCCCACCCCACCCCGAGGGGCUCCUGGCCGGCUCCGCGCAAGUUGACGAGGGUCCCAGGCGCACGUCCUCGCCGCGUCUCACCUCGCUCCGCUGGCCGGCGGCGUCCCCGCGGGCAUCGCCCGGGCGGCGCAGUCACCGCGGACCCCGCUCGGCGCCCGGCCCCGGCCCCGAGCGCCUCCGCCCGGCCCGCGCCCCAGCCCGCCCGGCUCCCGGCUCCCGGCUGCGGCUUGACUCCGGCUCCGGCUUGCCCGGCGGAGGCGACGGCGGCGGCCCUGGCGCGGCGUGGAGGCCGCUGAGCGGACGGGUGAGGCCGGGGCUGGGGGCGCGGGGCGCGGGGCGCGGGCCGGGGCCGGUGAGGCAGCGAGCGAGCCUCGAGCCCGUCCGCGCGCGGCGCAGGAAACUUCGGGCUGAGCGGCGGGGGCGGGGCGGGCGGGGAAGGGGCGGGCAGGCGCGGAGGGGCGGGGAAGGGCGGGCCGGGCCGGGGCGGGGCGGGUGGGGGUGCCGAGGAGGAUCCGCCCCGGCCCGAGAUGCGCGCGCCCGAGCGACCCCUCCCCGUCGCCGCGCGGCGCCCACCCCGCCCCUGGGUCGGGGAAGUUGGACCCGCCCGAGCCCCUCCACGCCCCCGCACUGGGCUCCGCGUUCCUCGUGCUCCCCGCCAACGCCGGGCGUGGGGUGCACCAGGGGCGCUCGCGGGAGGAUCCAGCAGGGUGGGAGGGGAGCACCUAAGUCCUUCCCCGCCCCCAACUGCGGGGGCGGCUGCUGCGGAUGCCGCGCCCCUCCCCCCGCUGCCGCUCCUCCCCCCUCCGCGCCGUCGCGCUGCCGCCGCCCCCACCCCCACUGCGACGCGGGCCCGGGUCGGCGGAGGGGCGGGGACCGGGCGGGCGUGGAAGGGAGAGGCUGCGUGCCUCUCCCCGCCGCGUGUGUGUCCCGGUGUGCCCGCACGCGCGCGUGUUUGAUGGGGCGCGGGGGCGGGCGGGGGUGUGCUUUGCGGCUUGGAGUCCGUGGGUGGGAUUCUGGGUGCUCCUGCAUGCGCAUCUCUUACCGACACGCACGGGCAGUUUCCGCGAACUUGUCCCCGUCUCCAGCCCCCUCCCGUGUGGGAAUCUGGGGGACCCUGGGGACGGCGGCCUGGUGCUCCUGCACCCCUCAACCCCGCUGCCUCACCGAGACUCACCGAGGGACCCCCGAGGAGAAGUGCAGGCCCCCUCUCCCUGCCAGCACCUGCUCCCUCAGCCAGGCCAGCGGAGGGGCCUUCCCCUGGACCCUCAGAGCAAGUGAUUUGGUCGUGAAGGGGUGGCCCUUUCAGACAUUGGGGAUGGCCAGGGCCAUGUCCCAGCGAGGGCUCACCACACCUCGAGGUGCCAGCAGGUGGGGACAGGUGCCCAGGCUCCCGACUCCUCCCAGGGCACCCUCCAGGCUGGAAGGGGGGGUCUUGCUUCUGGGACCGCUGCUUUGUGCACCAGAGGGUUUGAGCUCCCAGGUCUGCACCUCAGCACGCCCACCAAUAAGGGGCUUCUGGUAG
rnacentral:lncRNA from 1 species